AGAGUGACGGAUGUUGCCGAUUUCCUUUCAGUGGCUCUGUGCUCAACGUCCAAGCUGCUGGCGCUUACUGGCAGGAAUGUUCUGUACCCUCAGAAACGUGAACGCGCAAACAUUUCCUCUGGAAACUCUCCCAUGGAUUUCCAAUUUGGCCGUUUCGCCCAGUGGACAACGAGCUCCUUGAGAGGAGGGACUGUGACCUCAUUAUAGAUGAAGCACCUUCCUUCCUGCCAGGCACACAAUAUAAAAGAGAGAAGCAAGCAGAGACACAUGGGAACCUCAUACCACCAAGAA